rnacentral:rRNA from 1 species
CUGGAUGAACGCUGGCGGCGUGCCUAACACAUGCAAGUCGAGCGAUUUACUUUUAGUAAAGAGCGGCGGACGGGUGAGUAACGCGUGGGUAACCUGCCCUGUACACACGGAUAACAUACCGAAAGGUAUGCUAAUACGAGAUAACAUGAGAAAGUCGCAUGGCUUUCUUAUCAAAGCUUUUGCGGUACAGGAUGGACCCGCGUCUGAUUAGCUAGUUGGUAAGGUAACGGCUUACCAAGGCGACGAUCAGUAGCCGACCUGAGAGGGUGAUCGGCCACAUUGGAACUGAGACACGGUCCAAACUCCUACGGGAGGCAGCAGUGGGGAAUAUUGCACAAUGGGCGAAAGCCUGAUGCAGCAACGCCGCGUGAGCGAUGAAGGCCUUCGGGUCGUAAAGCUCUGUCCUCAAGGAAGAUAAUGACGGUACUUGAGGAGGAAGCCCCGGCUAACUACGCGCCAGCAGCCGCGGUAAUACGUAGGGGGCUAGCGUUAUCCGGAAUUACUGGGCGUAAAGGGUGCGUAGGCGGUCUUUCAAGUCAGGAGUGAAAGGCUACGGCUCAACCGUAGUAAGCUCUUGAAACUGUAAGACUUGAGUGCAGGAGAGGAGAGUAGAAUUCCUAGUGUAGCGGUGAAAUGCGUAGAUAUUAGGAGGAAUACCAGUUGCGAAGGCGGCUCUCUGGACUGUAACUGACGCUGAGGCACGAAAGCGUGGGGAGCAAACAGGAUUAGAUACCCUGGUAGUCCACGCCGUAAACGAUGAGUACUAGCUGUCGGAGGUUACCCCCUUCGGUGGCGCAGCUAACGCAUUAAGUACUCCGCCUGGGAAGUACGCUCGCAAGAGUGGAACUCAAAGGAAUUGACGGGGACCCGCACAAGUAGCGGAGCAUGUGGUUUAAUUCGAAGCAACGCGAAGAACCUUACCUAAGCUUGACAUCCUUUUGACCGAUGCCUAAUCGCACCUUUCCCUUCGGGGACAGAAGUGACAGGUGGUGCAUGGUUGUCGUCAGCUCGUGUCGUGAGAUGUUGGGUUAAGUCCCGCAACGAGCGCAACCCUUGCCUUUAGUUGCCAUCAUUAAGUUGGGCACUCUAGAGGGACUGCCAGGGAUAACCUGGAGGAAGGUGGGGAUGACGUCAAAUCAUCAUGCCCCUUAUGCUUAGGGCUACACACGUGCUACAAUGGGUGGUACAGAGGGCAGCCAAACCGUGAGGUGGAGCUAAUCCCUUAAAGCCAUUCUCAGUUCGGAUUGUAGGCUGAAACUCGCCUACAUGAAGCUGGAGUUACUAGUAAUCGCAGAUCAGAAUGCUGCGGUGAAUGCGUUCCCGGGUCUUGUACACACCGCCCGUCACACCACGGAAGUUGGGGGCGCCCGAAGCCGGAUAGCUAACCUUUUGGAAGCGUCCGUCGAAGGUGAA